rnacentral:rRNA from 1 species
GACGAACGCUGGCGGCGUGCUUAACACAUGCAAGUCGAACGGAAAGGCCCUGCUUGCAGGGUACUCGAGUGGCGAACGGGUGAGUAACACGUGGGUGAUCUGCCCUGCACUUCGGGAUAAGCCUGGGAAACUGGGUCUAAUACCGGAUAGGAGCCAUUUUUAGGGUGAUGGUUGGAAAUUUUUUUCGGUGUAGGAUGAGCUCGCGGCCUAUCAGCUUGUUGGUGGGGUAAUGGCCUACCAAGGCGGCGACGGGUAGCCGGCCUGAGAGGGUGGACGGCCACAUUGGGACUGAGAUACGGCCCAGACUCCUACGGGAGGCAGCAGUGGGGAAUAUUGCACAAUGGGCGCAAGCCUGAUGCAGCGACGCCGCGUGGGGGAUGACGGCCUUCGGGUUGUAAACUCAUUUCGCUAGGGACGAAGCUUUUUGUGACGGUACCUAGAUAAGAAGCACCGGCUAACUACGUG